rnacentral:rRNA from 1 species
AUGGGGAUCCGGUGUCUUCAUCUAUACCAUCAGAGAAGAAGGCUUGCCAAGAAUGGACGAAGGUAUGAUUCUAGGAAAUCUAGAUUUGAAAGAAGGAAGCACCUGAGGAGCAAUCAAACGGACAUUUCUACAAGUGAACUCUCUCAAUCCAGGAACUAG